rnacentral:misc_RNA from 1 species
AAAAAAAAAAUUGGUUCGCAAAUAUUGACAUAGGAAGUAUACACCAUCCACUGGUGCACUUCUAAUGUACUUCAAUGUCAAUGACUUUACUGGUUGUGGUUUCUUUAAGAGGAAUAGACAUACAAGAGCCCAUCUUUCACCUCUGCUUCAAUCCUCUCAGACUCUAUGGUCUAUGGCAAUGCAAUUAUGCUGUUGUCUUGUCCCUGUAAUAGCUCUUAUUCUGCCACUUCUCGUACCUAAUAUCUUCAUUAGCAUUUACGUUACUUUCUUGAGUUGUUUCAGAAACCUUCUGACUUCACUGCUACAAUGUUGCCCCCACCUUAUUGUCAUUUUAAGUGCACAUUGAAUAUCAUCUUGUAGUUCUUUUUUUCCCUAACUUUAUUACCUAAGGUGUAUUCUCCGU